rnacentral:tRNA from 1 species
GCCGCUGUGGUGGAAUAGGCAGACACAAGGGACUUAAAAUCCCUCGGUAGCAAUACCGUACCGGUUCGACCCCGGUCAGCGGCACCA